CUGCGAUUCCCUACUUCAUCCUUUCACGACCUAAUAUACAAACAUUCAAAAUUUGCACAUCAAGUUGCCGAACUCUAUUUUAAGUCCACCUAUUUCGCUUACAGCUUCGGCACUUUUCAAGAAAUUAUUACCAGGAAAGUGCUUCUUCAUUCCUGCUUCUGGAGAUAGAUUGCAACUGUGACUUUUACAGCCUCUGAGAUGGCUUACUCAUUGCUCACUGUCAUCAAUUCUACAAAAGAUGAUUGGAUGGUAUGAGUCCGUGUUUGUAGAAUAUGGACUGCAUUUGACCACAAUGAUGACAAAAUUGUAUUGAGCCGAGAUAUGAUAUUACUUGAUGAAUAGGGAACAAUGAUGCAUGCAACAAUUACAAAGAACCAUAUUCCCCGAUUCACACAACUCCUUUCCGAAGGCCUAAUCUUUGAUAUAAAAAAUUUCAAAGUUGUUCAGAGCAUAGGUGAGUUCCAACCAUUGGCAAGUGAUUACCAAAUAAUCUUCCUCCGAAAUAUGUUGCUGACAAGAAUUGAAGACUCAUUAGUAAGGAUUCCCACUUAUGGAUUCCAUUUUGCCACACAAACAACAAUUGCUGAAAGAAUAAAUGACAAUAGAAUUCUAUCAGAUACUGCAAC